CCCUUAGAUGUUCUGGGCGGCCCGCGCACUACAAUGGCGUGUGCAGCGAGUGCCGAAGUAGAGUUUUCCGAGGUAUUCUUGCAAUGCUCGUUUUGGUGGGGAUAGACCCUUGCAACUGUUGGUUUUGAACGAGGAAUUCCUUGUAAGCAUGGUUUAUCAUCCGACGCUGAAUGCGUCCCUGCCCUUUGUACACACCGCCCGUCGCUCCUACCGAUGAGUCGUCCGGUGAAGUUCGUAGACCUCGUGAUCGCGGAUCACUGGGGGAAGCAAAAUGAACCUCGCGGUUUAGAGGAAGGAGAAGUCGUAACA
rnacentral:rRNA from 1 species